GAUAAACGCUGGCGGCGUGCCUAACACAUGCAAGUCGAACGCCCUUUUCGUCGCAAGUAGAGAGGGAGUGGCGGACGGGUGAGUACCACGUGGGUACCGUACCUUGAGGUGAGGAAUACCACCGAGAAAUCGGUGACAAGACCGCAUACGCUUGGCAACAAGCAAAGUACUCGCAAGAGACGCCACAAGAUGGGCCUGCGCCUGAUUAGCUAGUUGGUGAGGUAAUGGCNCACCAAGGCGACGAUCAGUAGCUGGUCUGAGAGGAUGAUCAGCCACACUGGGAUUGAGAACGGCCCAGACUCCUACGGGGGGCANCAGUGAGGAAUUUUUCGUCAA
rnacentral:rRNA from 1 species